UUAGUGUUUAAUUUUUUAGUUCUCUGAUGAACCCUCCAUGACUCCCUUUUUAAAACUUUUAAAUUAUGUCUAAAGCAUGGGACGAUUGGAAUGAUGCUGCUAGUCAACCAAAAACUUCCUCAAGUUCCGUUGAAGAUUCAUCAAAUAGGGAUCCACCUACGCCUAUUUUUUUAAAGUAUGAAGAAGAAAGUAAACUUACCUCCUCGCUUAUUUGCUCAAAAUUUACAAGUAACUCAGCACCUUCAAUUCGCAUUUUAAAGCGUUCAACCGACCAUGGAAACAAUCGAGAUGUUUCUUCUAAAACACUGAAUAAAGUUCUUUUAACUGGGUCUUCAAGUGAAGCCUUGAGUAUCGAAGAACGCGAAAAGGAAUAUGAGAAGGCAAAAAAGCGCAUAUUUGGAUCUUCGCAUUAUAGU